rnacentral:rRNA from 1 species
UGGCUCAGAACGAACGCUGGCGGCAGGCUUAACACAUGCAAGUCGAACGCACCUUCGGGUGAGUGGCGCACGGGUGAGUAACGCGUGGGAACGUACCCUUCACUACGGAACAACGUCGGGAAACUGACGCUAAUACCGUAUAAUGUCUUCGGACCAAAGAUUUAUCGGUGAAGGAUCGGCCCGCGUUGGAUUAGGUAGUUGGUGGGGUAAUGGCCUACCAAGCCGACGAUCCAUAGCUGGUCUGAGAGGAUGAUCAGCCACACUGGGACUGAGACACGGCCCAGACUCCUACGGGAGGCAGCAGUGAGGAAUAUUGGACAAUGGGGGAAACCCUGAUCCAGCCAUGCCGCGUGAGUGAUGAAGGCCUUCGGGUUGUAAAGCUCUUUUAGAUGUGAAGAUAAUGACGGUAGCAUCAGAAAAAGCUCCGGCUAAAUUCGUG